rnacentral:rRNA from 1 species
UACGUAGGGACCGAGCGUUGUCCGGAAUCAUUGGGCGUAAAGAGCGUGUAGGCGGCCACUUAAGUCCUGCGUGAAAUCUUGCGGCUCAACCGCAAGCGGUCGUGGGAAACUGGGUGGCUAGAGUGCGGGAGAGGAGAGUGGAAUCCUGGUGUAGCGGUGGAAUGCGCAGAUAUCGGGAAGAACACCCGUGGCGAAGGCGGCUCUCUGGAACGCAACUGACGCUGAGACGCGAAAGCGUGGGGAGCAAACAGGG